rnacentral:antisense_RNA from 1 species
GCAACGCUCUGCUGACAUUGGCAUACAAAUAAGACCACGACCAUGGGUUGCCAUAAAGUUAAUCGCUUCUGGUGUAACUUUUUCUGCCGCCAUAAU